UUUCACCUGUGGAACAGCGAGUAAGCCAGCAACUUUAGAAUGCAAAUACAGACCAAUAAAGCCAAAUUGAUAUUAUAACACAAUUUAUUUGUUGAAAAUAUUUUGUAUUGUUACACUGAAUCCACAAAGUAACUAGAUACAUAAAUGUCGUGGAGUAAAAAGUACAACAGGAGAACAGAAAUACAAAGUAGCACUGUAGACUAGAUGUAUAUAGUGGUAAAGCACGAAUACCUCAAAUUUAUACUUAAGUAAAGCACUUAAGUUAAUGUAGGGGCAAAGAUGAGACCAAAGUUUUUGGCUUUUUCAUUC